rnacentral:lncRNA from 1 species
UUUUUUUUUUUUUUUUUACCUACCACACGUCCCACAUCUCCCACAGUCCUUUAAUCCCUGACCAGUCCUACAGGGGAUGGAUGCACUGUGACCUUUGUAGCCUCUCCCCUCUCCUCAGGGAUCACAGCUCACUGUAGAUCACAGCCCAAUGUCCCAGGUGACUCACUUACUAGAAUUCGUAAUUCACUUCAUCCUGCCACCAGUGCCCCUGUGAGCUAGACACUCAAAUUGAUUCCAUUUUACAGAUUUGGCGACUGAGGUCCAGAAAGAUUAAGUCGCAGUCUGAGGUCGCAUGGUGGAUGAGCAGCAGACACCCUGGUGGGCAGCCUGGCUCCUGAGCCAUGCGUCACCACCAUCUUAGUGGAAAAUCAGCCACAAGGAGGGAUUCCCCUCCCAGUCUCCUGGCCCUUGCCAAAGGAUCCACACUAGACAUGAGAGGAGGAAGGGAGUCCACACCGACUCUGGCAUCAAACCCUCAUUCCUUAGGAAACUGCGCUAAUGUUGCCCCCUCCCUCCCUGCGACUACCUCAGAUUGUAUCUACACCUUCCCAGCUAGCCCCGGUGUCAUCACGUAUUUAUCUGUUGAUCACUCGGCUCCAGGGACUGCCAUAUCAGCCCAGGAAGGCAGGAUCUUGUCUGUCUGGUUAGGGGCUGUGGUCUGGCACUGGGCACAUAGUCAGUAUUCAAUAAAUUUUGGCUAAAGCCCUUUUGGAUCGAUCGUCUAUUGUCAGUGUGGCUCAGAUGCAGCCCCUGCCACACUGACUGUGUGGCUCUGGCAGGUCACACCCCCUUUCUGAGCCUCCCUUCCAUCAUCUGUAAAGUAGACUUGUCUCUGAGUCCUACACAUGUUAAACACUCAAAGGAUUGCUGUUGCGUGAAUUAGUGAAAUCCGAGCCGGAAGGGCCUUUGGAACCCAGGGUUGCAAACUCAAAGACUCCAAGAGCCAGGCAGGAACCAGAAACCACCGAGGGAGCUGGGUGGGGACCGAGGCAGCUGCUACUCAGCUCUAGUCACCAGCACUGCCAGAUCUUCUGCUUUCUCAAGAAAAGCCAGAAAUCUAGAGAUUUACAAGAAGUUUCCCAGUGUAUAAGUAUUGGCAGCUAAUUUAAAACAUUUAAACACAUCUGUGGAUGUGAUGUGGCUGCAGGCCGUUUCUUUGCGACUCAUGAUUCAUCUAACUGCUCGUGGCACAGAUGAGAUCAAAGCCCAGAGAGGGUGAGCCACGAGCCCCAGGUCACGGAGCACAGGAAGUGAAGAGGAAACAGCAACCUUUCUCCUUCGGCUGCAGCCCUGUUGCCCAAGCUCAGGGCAACGGCUGAGCCCUGAUCACGAGGGAGGCAGUGCCGCCUUCUCCUCUAGGCCUGGCAGUUCCAGGGUGAGAGGAAGGUCACGAUAUCUCUGUUUGGGUGCACUGCAACCUCCGCUUCCUGCCUGGACCAGGCUGUAUCAGGCACUGGGAUGAAGAGAACGUUCCAAGCAAUGGGCUGGCCUAGGAGGUAAGAGCUGGUAGCGGAGAGGGGCUGGGCACACCCCUUCCUUACUUCAGGGACGUGCAAACCCCUUCAGCAGGCCUGGGCAGAGCUGGGGCGGUUCAAGCCCUGCUUCUGGAGAAACAUGCUCUGCCAUUGAGGCUGGGAGCUCUGUGCCCGCAUGGCUCUCAGGACCUUGGAAUGCAUUUGUCCAGCAGCUUCUAUAUACCAGGUCCUCAUCUGACCCAUGCUCCCACAACUUCCAUGGCCACUCCUCCCUCUGUCCCCUCUUGCGCUCUCUACCCAGGCACAAUGGUACCUGAUCUGCUCUGAACACAGCAGCCCUGCUCUUACCUCAGGGCCUUUGCACACGCUGUUCCCUCUGCCUGGUUCACUUCACCCAUUAUGCAGAUGGCUCAUUGUAGAUCUCUACCUGAGUGUCACCUUCUCGGUGAGGCCCUCCCUACCUGUUCACUCUGGUUAAAAUUGCAAACAUCCCCCACACUCCUUAGCCUCCAUCUGGCUUUCUUCUACCCUGCAGCACUUAGAACCGUGGGACACGCGUAUGUUACACGUGGGACACGCGUAUGUUACACGUGGGACACGCAUAUGUUACACGUGUUUAUUCGUGUUUCCCUUUCCUGUUGCUGCUGUAACAAAUUGCCACGAAGUUGGGAGUUGGAAAUAACACGAACGUGUGAGAUUACAGUUCUGGAGGACUGAAGCCCACAGUUGGUCUCAGCAGGUUAAAAUCAAGGUGUGGACAGGACCACGUUCCUUCUACAGGCUCACAGGGAUAAUCUGUUUCUCCAGCUUCUCAAGGCCACCUGCAUUCCUGGGCUCACGGCUCCAUCCUCCAUCUUCAAAGCCAGCAACAGCGAGGCCAUCUUUCUCAUGCUGCAUCCCUCCACCUGCAACGCCCCUACUUCCCUCCUGCACUGAUAAGGCCCCUUGUGAUUACAUUGGAUCACAAUGUCAUCAGCUGGGUAGUCCAGGGUCGUCCCCCCCAGCUCAAGGUCAGCUGCUCAGCAGUCUCCAUUCCCCUUGGCUGUGUAACCUCGCACAUUCACAGGUUUCAGGAUGAGGA